CACAUAAUAACAAGAAAUUUAGUAGGGAGGGAGAGAAGCCAAACUCUUUCUAUGUUUUCUUUCUAUGUUUUCCUUAUCAGCCUGCAGGUGCAAAGAUAAACAACAUCAACAAAUACAUGCUCUGGGAGACUCAGUUUUUUUAGGGCCUGAAUCCAGUUUCCAAAAACAGAUUCAGGUGUCUAAGGCCUGCAGAAAUGAAACACAGAUUGCACAAUCCUAUAUGUGUCUACUCAACAGCAAGUUCCAUUGAACUGGAUGGGGCUUACUUCCUGGCUUUGGGGACACCACUUUCCAUCAGAUAAAGCACUGUUUGGCUAUUAGGGAGAGCCAUCAACAGCUGUCGGCUGUAAUUCUUCAAAGAGCUGCCCUUCAGUGUACUGAACAGAGGAAGCCAAGGAGCAUCCCCAAGAAGAACAGUCUGUAAUUUAAUUUAAAGUUGCCUCAUGCAAUCUAUCACACUCUCCUCUUAUAUGCGGAUGGAAAACAAUUUGAAGGGGAUAAA